rnacentral:tRNA from 2 species
UUUGGUCUGGUGGAUAGGCAGGCCGGUAUCGGCGGUUUCCAUCGCCGCGAUCUCCGGGACGUUCUGAUCGAUCAGAUCCCCC